rnacentral:rRNA from 1 species
UACAGAGGUCUCAAGCGUUGUUCGGAUUCAUUGGGCGUAAAGGGUGCGUAGGCGGCGCGGUAAGCCGGGUGUGAAAUCUCGGGGCUUAACUCCGAAACUGCAUUCGAUACUGCCGUGCUUGAGGACUGGAGAGGAGACUGGAAUUUACGGUGUAGCGGUGAAAUGCGCAGAUAUCAGGAGGAACACCAAUGGCGAAGGCAGCUCGCUGGAACGGUACUGACGCUGAGGCGCGAAAGCGUGGGGAGCAAACAGG